CUAAGAAUAUUCCGCAAUGGACGGAAGUCUGACGGAGCGACGCCGCGUGGAUGACGAAGGCCGAAAGGUUGUAAAGUUCUUUUGCUGGGGAAGAUAACCGCAGGAGGGAAUGCCUGUGGGAUGACAAGAACCGGCGAAUAAGCCCCGGCCAACUACGUGCCAGCAGCCGCGGUAACACGUAGGGGGCGAGCGUUGUUCGGAAUUACUGGGCGUAAAGGGCAUGUAGGCGGCUUGGAAAGCCUGGCGUGAAAGUCUGCAGCUUAACUGCAGGGGUGCGCUGGGAACUGCUGAGCUUGAGUGACGGAGAGGGAGCUGGAAUUCCUGGUGUAGGGGUGAAAUCUGUAGAUAUCAGGAAGAACACCGAUGGCGAAGGCAAGCUCCUGGCCGAUGACUGACGCUGAGGUGCGAAAGUGUGGGGAUCAAACAGGAUUAGAUACCCUGGUAGUCCACACAGUCAACGAUGUGCACUAGGUGCUGGGGCGGUAGCUUCGGUGCCGGAGCGAACGUGGUAAGUGCACCGCCUGGGGAGUAUGCUCGCAAGGGUGAAACUUAAAUGAUUGACGGGGUCAUAGCU
rnacentral:rRNA from 1 species